CCUACGGGUGGCAGCAGUAGGGAAUCUUUCACAAUGGGCGAAAGCCUGAUGGAGCAACGCCGCGUGCAGGAUGACGGCCUUCGGGUUGUAAACUGCUUUUUUAAGAGAGAAAUAUGAUGGUAACUUAUGAUUAAGGAUCGUCCAAUUACGUUCCAGCAGCCGCGGUCUAACGUAGGAUCCGAGCAUUAUCCGGAGUGACUGGGUGUAAAGAGUUGCGUAGGUGGCAUAAUAAGUAGCUAGUGAAAUCUGUUGGGUCAACCAUUCAGACUAUUAGCUACACUGGUAAGCUUGAGACCAUUAGAGGUAACUGGAAUUUCUGGUGUAGCGGUGAAAUGCGUAGAUAUUAGGAGGAACACCAAUAGCGAAGGCAGGUUACUGGGACGGUACUGACACUGAGGCACGAAAGCGUAGGGAGCAAACGGGAUUAGAUACCCCAGUAGUC
rnacentral:rRNA from 1 species